rnacentral:rRNA from 1 species
UACGUAGGGUGCAAGCGUUGUCCGGAAUUAUUGGGCGUAAAGAGCUCGUAGGCGGUCUGUCGCGUCGGCUGUGAAAACCCGGGGCUCAACCCCGGGCCUGCAGUCGAUACGGGCAGACUAGAGUGCGGUAGGGGAGACAGGAAUUCCUGGUGUAGCGGUGAAAUGCGCAGAUAUCAGGAGGAACACCGGUGGCGAAGGCGGGUCUCUGGGCCGUAACUGACGCUGAGGAGCGAAAGCGUGGGGAGCGAACAGG